GUUGACCCUCUGUGUUGCCCUCCUGCAGGGUUUAGGAGCCUUUGCUGUGGACGGAGAGAAGGGGACAUGAGCGGCCAUUAAGGGGGGCUAGAGAGCCGGCAAAAGGCGUCAGGAUUAAACCGGAGUCACCGCUUCCCGUCCACCGGCCAUUCCCCCUCAACUCCGAACGGUGGGAUCUCGCUCUCCGCCCGUGGAUGUCCGCAAGACUCUGGCUGCGGUAAAUAAGGACUUUGGCUCGUUAACCCGCUGGAGCCAAGUUGUAUUCCAAUGAAAUAAAUGUAUUUUCAAUGAAAUAAAUGUAUUUUCCAUGAAA